rnacentral:rRNA from 1 species
UUGUGAAAUGUUGGGUUAAGUCCCGCAACGAGCGCAACCCUUAUCCUUUGUUGCCAGCGGUCCGGCCGGGAACUCAAAGGAGACUGCCAGUGAUAAACUGGAGGAAGGUGGGGGUGACGUCAAGUCAUCAUGGCCCUUACGACCAGGGCUACACACGUGCUACAAUGGCGCAUACAAAGAGAAGCGACCUCGCGAGAGCAAGCGGACCUCAUAAAGUGCGUCGUAGUCCGGAUUGGAGUCUGCAACUCGACUCCAUGAAGUCGGAAUCGCUAGUAAUCGUGGAUCAGAAUGCCACGGUGAAUACGUUCCCGGGCCUUGUACACACCGCCCGUCACACCAUGGGAGUGGGUUGCAAAAGAAGUAGGUAGCUUAACCUUCGGGAGGGCGCUUACCACUUUGUGAUUCAUGACUGGGGUGAAGUCGUAACAAGGUAACCGUAGGGGAACCUGCGGUUGGAUCACCUC